AACACAGAUGCAGGUGUAUGUUAGAAGAUGGUGUCCAUCAGAAUUUUCAGUUGAUCCAACAGAAGAAGUUAUUCUAGACACACCUAUAACUAUAAGUCCCUUAGAUCUUAAAAAAAGGUGAAUGUAUAAUAAAAUAAUGCUAUGUGACUCUUUCCUUUAGCUUUCAGAGUUAAGCGGAGUUCCUGUUGAUGCCAUUUCUGUUGCAACAUAUUUGAGAUCAUUUCCAGUUGAGAUAUCACGUCUUGAUAUUGAGAAUGAGAUGGAAUGGAAUUAAGCAUCACUGUAUGAUGCUGAUGGAGAUGUCAUUUAUUACAAAGACAAUAGAGAACAAUUGAAGGAGAUGACAACUGAAGAAAGAGCAGGAUUUAAAAUGACAGAAAGCAAAAGGAUUUAUAGUGUUGCUGUAUAUGGUAUUGGGUCAUUGUAUGAUGUUCCAGGAGACAAAGAGGAUGAAGAUUGAGUACAUUUAGUGGCAAAGUGUGUAUAUGUGGCUUGUAAGCUUUCUCCCCUCUUCAGCUAUUGGUGAUAUUAUUUUAGAUCCAAUUGUGGUUGCAUUAUCUUUUUGAGCUUUGGCAGUUUUAUUAUCAUCAUC